rnacentral:rRNA from 1 species
UUAGAGUUUGAUCCUGGCUCAGAUUGAACGCUGGCGGCAGGCCUAACACAUGCAAGUCGAGCGGUAGAGAGAAGCUUGCUUCUCUUGAGAGCGGCGGACGGGUGAGUAAUGCCUAGGAAUCUGCCUGGUAGUGGGGGAUAACGUUCGGAAACGGACGCUAAUACCGCAUACGUCCUACGGGAGAAAGCAGGGGACCUUCGGGCCUUGCGCUAUCAGAUGAGCCUAGGUCGGAUUAGCUAGUUGGUGAGGUAAUGGCUCACCAAGGCGACGAUCCGUAACUGGUCUGAGAGGAUGAUCAGUCACACUGGAACUGAGACACGGUCCAGACUCCUACGGGAGGCAGCAGUGGGGAAUAUUGGACAAUGGGCGAAAGCCUGAUCCAGCCAUGCCGCGUGUGUGAAGAAGGUCUUCGGAUUGUAAAGCACGUUAAGUUGGGAGGAAGGGCAGUUACCUAAUACGUGAUUGUUUUGACGUUACCGACAGAAUAAGCACCGGCUAACUCUGUGCCAGCAGCCGCGGUAAUACAGAGGGUGCAAGCGUUAAUCGGAAUUACUGGGCGUAAAGCGCGCGUAGGUGGUUAGUUAAGUUGGAUGUGAAAUCCCCGGGCUCAACCUGGGAACUGCAUUCAAAACUGACUGACUAGAGUAUGGUAGAGGGUGGUGGAAUUUCCUGUGUAGCGGUGAAAUGCGUAGAUAUAGGAAGGAACACCAGUGGCGAAGGCGACCACCUGGACUGAUACUGACACUGAGGUGCGAAAGCGUGGGAGCAACAG